GCGCGGGGUGCGGCCGGCAGGGGCCUGCUCGUGCCGCGGGGAAGGACCGGCGAGCUCCUGGGCUUCCUCCGCACCCGGCCUCGGCGAAUGCUCUGCGCUCUUGGCGCCCUUGGUGGGCGGAGGGACCCGGUUGCGCAUUCGGCCCCGCCUCCCUCGGAGCGAACCCGGAGCGGGCCGGGACCCGGCUGGGAUCCGGGAUCCUCCCCCUCGGGCAGGUGCAAUACAGUUGUGGACCCGUGAAGACCCAGAGCCAUGCUAGCUCAGGUCCAGGUCCCAGCUCUUUGAAACAAAGCAGCCAGUUCUUGUGAAGUAGGAAGCAGGGUCUUUUAUGCAAGGAGCUGUGGUUGGAAGAGAACACUUCUGUGGACUUAGACUUCUGUCUGACAUCCGGUGCAGAGAGAAAAGCCCAGAAAGCAGCAGAGAGAAGAGCCGGAACUUGCGUGGUUGGAAGCUGCUGUUGCUCUUUCUGCCCAGAAUGAGCUAGAUGUGGUGACAGUGCCAUCUCCAGAAGCCACCACAGACUGCAGCGGUAGAGAUUUCAGGCUUGUUUUGAGAUUAGCAAGGUUAUCUGGGGAGGCUUGGUGACUGGUUGCCCAGGAAAGACCACUUCAUCACGGGGCUUUGAGGCAGGCGUGCAGGAGAGCUUUCACAGCCCUCUACCCUGUGCCAAGGAGCCGCAGAAGAUGAAUACAACUCAGGCAUCCGUGUCCCUGGAGGACGUGACUGUGGAGUUCAGCCAGGAGGAGUGGCAGUGCAUGGGCCCUGCUCAGAGGACCCUGUACAGAGACGUGAUGCUGGAGAUCUACGGCCACCUUGCCUCCGUGGGGUACUGCUUUACAAAGCCAGAACUCAUCUCCACAUUGGAACAAGGAAAUGAUCCAUGGUUGUUGUUAGGUAAAGGGAAAGAAUGUCUAAGCAGGAAUUCCCCAGAAGACUACCAACCUGAUAAACUCUUAGAGAAGAGCCCAGAACAUCAGGACAAACAUUUGCGGCAAGUUGCAUUCACCAGCAGAUCACUGAUUACAGACCAAGAAACUUUCAGAAAACCACAUGAUUCAGACAUAGAUGUUUUACCUGCAAGGCUGGCACUUGGUCAGUGUGACCCUGCAGGGCUCGAGAACCGGGGUCUCGACUCAUUGGCCUCACACUCACAGUAUUCAGCAGAAAAGGCUGGUGAUCUUAGCUGCCCUGAAAGCUUGCUACUCAACAUUAAAGACUGCAGAAAGGGUACUGGAGAGAGAGACCGCAGUUGUAAAGUAGAACCUAUUCAGCAUCAGACAGUUCAGAAUUCAAGACAAGGUUUUAAAUAUAAUGGAAAUGAAAAAGCUUUCCUGGUAAAGGCUGCUGUUAAUCCAUCUCAGAGUGCCUUCCAAAAAGAGAAAUCUUGCACAUGUAAUAGGUUUGGGGAAAAUUUGCAUGACAAAUCAACUAUUGUCUGUCAGAGCACUUGUCCAGAUAAAAGUCACUGUGAGUUUCAUGGAAAUGGAAAUGGUUUCAGUAGGACUGCUCAGAAAACUGACCCAGCAGGAAAAUCUUUCACCCAGAAGUCACACGUCAGAAAACAGCAGAAAAUUCACAUCAAGAUAAAGCACUCUGAGAAUGGAAACAUCUCCAACCAAAAUUCAGCCCUCCUAACACGUCAGAGAACUCACCCAGCAGGUAGCACAGGUACAGAGACUGCUGGCUGCCCUUUGAAUUUUAGUGUACAUCACAGAACUCAUACAAAGGUGAAACCCUCUGAGUGUAGUGAACAUGGAAAAUCCUGCUCUAUGAAUUCACAUCUGAGACCACCUCAGAAAAACCUCACAGGAGAGAAACCUUACACAUGUCAUGAAUGUGGGAAAGCUUUCAGUGAGAAGUCACGUCUGAAAAAGCAUCACAGGACUCACACUGGAGAGAAGCCAUAUAAAUGUGACGAAUGUGAGAAAGCUUUCAGUGCAAAGUCAGGCCUAAGGAUACAUCAGAGAACUCACACUGGGGAGAAACCCUUUGAGUGUGUUGAAUGUGGGAAAUCUUUCAACUAUAAGUCAAUCCUUAUAGUACAUCAGAGGACGCACACAGGGGAGAAGCCUUUCGAGUGUGGUGAAUGUGGGAAAUCUUUCAGCCAUAUGUCAGGCUUAAGGAAUCAUCGGAGAACUCACACUGGGGAGAGACCAUAUAAAUGUGAUGAUUGUGGGAAAGCUUUCAAACUGAAAUCAGGCUUAAGAAAACACCAUAGAACACAUACCGGAGAGAAACCAUACAAGUGCAAUCAGUGUGGCAAAGGUUUUGGUCAGAAAUCACAACUUAGAGGUCAUCACAGAAUUCACACAGGAGAGAAACCCUAUAAAUGUAAUCAGUGUGGGGAAGCUUUUAGUCAGAAAUCAAACCUCAGGGUACAUCACAGAACUCAUACUGGGGAGAAACCUUACAAAUGUGAUGUAUGUGGCAAAACUUUCAGGCAGAAAUCAAAUCUCAGAGGACAUCAUAGAACUCACACAGGGGAAAAGCCCUAUGGAUGUCAAGAGUGUGGAAAGGCUUUUAGUGAGAAGUCAGUUCUCAGAAAGCAUCAGCGAACUCACACAGGUGAGAAGCCCUAUAAUUGUAACCAAUGUGGGGAAGCUUUCAGUCAGAAAUCUAACCUCAGAGUACACCAGAGAACUCACACAGGGGAGAGACCUUAUAAGUGCGAUAAAUGUGAGAAAACUUUCAGCCAGAAAUCAAACCUAAGAGAACACCAGAAGGCCCACACAGGAGUAAAUACAUGAAUGUAAAAAGUAUGGGAAAUGUAAGCAAGUCUUUCAGUCAGUGAAAAUAUUGUUGGCUAUCAAAAAACUCCAUAAAGAAGCACUUUAAAGAUAAUACAGAAAAUAACCUUGUGAAUCCAAUCCUCAGAAAACCUGUGCUGUAGAAAAUCUCUCUGAAAAUAAAAUAUGAAGAUUUUGUGUGAUCAAUCAAAAUUUGUUCUUCAAAGGAAUUGCAGUGAGAAAAAUCUAGAAAUGUGCUGAUUUAAUAUAGACUUUUAUACCACAGCACAAAGUACGUAAAGGGUAAAGAUCUGAGUGUAUACAGAAAGGAAGAAAUGAUGGAUGUGGAGAAAUCUAAUGUAAUUCAAUCUCAGUCUGACCUAUACAAAUGUGAGACCCGUAUAUAAUUACUGUUAAAGCACUUACCAUAAGCACUUUCUGUUCAUCCUGUGCUACACUUGGCCGAAGUUUCACAACCAGUCUGUUACCCAAAUGGAUCAUAAGGUUAAACUCUAUCUAACAGAAUGUUGGGAUCAGUUAUAAUGAGCCUUAUUAAAUGUAUCUCUCAAGUUUUCAGUAUCGUCUUCCAGUCCUCAUUGGAAUGGAAUGGAGAUUACUUCUGGUUCAUACCUUGAAUUCAAAAGCAUAUAAAAUGGUGAGAAAUAGUUUCAAAAACUGGCUGUGUGGAAUGAGUUCCCCCUCCAUGUGUAUUGCUGGGCUUUUUACAUCCAGAAAGUAAACUCCACUGAGCUUCUACAGGAUUUGGUGUGCUUCAUAUUAAAAACUCACUCUUACUGAAAACCUGUGACAGUUCUGUGGACAUCUGAACUCCUUGUAUAUCGGAAAAGUCAUCUGGAGAUGCUUCCAACAAUAUCUAUUUAUAGCUCCUCCUUGUCAGUCAGGUAACUCCUAGGGCUCAAAUCUAAUGUUUGAAUAUAUGGAGAGAAAAUCCUCACCAAAAGAUGGCAUCUUAUGUCUUAUAACUGAGUAUUGAAUGUGUAAGUUUCAACAAGUCAUCAAACUUCCUUAUUGCUCAGACGUACAAAGGAAAAGUAACAGUUUGAGAAAGGUGUGAUCAAAAGUACAGUGACUGCUGCUGUGAAGUGUCAUCUGAGGAAGAGUCGGGCCAUGCAACGUUAAGAUUCGUCUUCAUCCACCUUAUUCUCUGGAUCCGGCAUCCUGUUUCUGCAAAGGCAAAAUGACCAGGAAGGUAAAUGUUCUGAAUGGAUUCAGGACACGGAGGCAGCCACAGCAGCGCGGUGAAAAACACCACACUGUCAGAACUGUUUUAGGAAGUGGCAAGAGUGAUGAAUGAAUGUGUUCAAAGAAUAAAGGAAUUCUUUGAGGAGGGUCAGUUAUAGCAUGUCUUCUACUGUAAUGAUUUUUAUACAUUAGUGUCAUAAACCAUGUAGAAAAAGGUAACAUAGUUACAAUGAUACUUUUAUAUAAUUUCCCUUUAUGAGAGGUCCUUAAAUCCGCAUAAGGGUUUUGUUAUUAUCUAGUGUCUUUUAAACCUGAAGGACUCAGAAUUUCUUACAGAAAAUUUAGACAUAAUAAAUCCCUUCUGUUUUUAUUUAUCUUGCAUCAGCAAUCAGAAACACCAAAACAACACCCAGUAUUGAGAGGCAGAUUUGUUUAUGUCAGUGAUAAGUGAUUAGAAUCAUUCCCAGAAUAUCAGGCCCUGAUCUCUGGUGGUCUAGAGCUUGUAUGAGAUAAGCAAUCAGGAAGUACAGAGAAAAAUGGGUUAUCAGUCGGAUUGGUUCUGACAACAUGCAUCGUGGUGACAGGUGUGCAUCACAGUGACCAACAGUUUCUAGGAGACAGAAGCCACUGGAACAGGAACUGUUAACUGGGCAGCUGAGAAACUGAAGUAUCCUGGAUGGGACGGGGCAUAUUUUCUGUACAGUCUGAGAAUGCUUCCUAAUUUUUGAAAAUCAGUUUUGCUAAGUAUAGGAUUUUUUUUUUUUUUUGUCUUUUAUCGGUACUGGGGAUCGAACUCACAACCACACACUUGCAAGGCAGGAGCUUAUGCCGCUGAGCUAAAUCCCCACCCCAUAAGAUUUUUUAAAUUGCUUUUAUUUAUUUAAGGUGUGCAAUGUGAUGUUUGGUAUCAAUUUUGGUGGGUCAUCCCCUCAUAAAUCCAUCGUAAGUGGGGUUUACUGUAAGUUCCAAAUGUGUUUGAUCCAUUCAUGGUUUAGUCUAGGCUACAUUAAAUGUGUUCAGAAUACUUCCAUUAGCCCCUAGCAGGGCACAAGGAUCUAACACAGCCUAUUUUAUAAUAGUGUUGAGUAUCUUAUGUAAUUCAUUAAAGAUAUGGAAGAAAAUGAAAAUAUAAAGCACACUGCUCUGAACACACUGGCAGCACUUCAGGCUGUAAAGUAUCAGUGUUUAUGCUUGUGUGUGGCUGACUGACAGCUGCAGUUUCCUCCUGUAUAAUGUGUUGCAUAAAUGUGUCCUGCACAGGCCCCUGGCCUAGAAGUAGACCAAAAUUCCAAAUUUAGGGUGUAAUUUCUACUGAAUGUGUGUGGCAUUUACAUAGCCAUAAAGUAAAAAUAUCCUUAGUUAAACCAUCGUAAGUUGGAAACUAUUUGUACUUACAUGUUGUGUAAGGGUAUAUAGUCAAGCAAAUUAAUGUACAUUUUUUUUCAGUAAGAACACUCAAAUUUUACACUCUGCAAAACUUCCAAAUACAAUGUUAUUGACUGUUUUUAGUUGUUUGUGCUUGUUGCUGAGACAAAAUACCUGACACCCAAAUGUAAAGGAAGAAAUGUUUGUUUAGCUCAGUUUGUAGAGAUUUCAGUCCAUAAAUAGGUGGUUGCACAUGGCAGAGUGGCAACAGUUCAUGGCUAUGGAAUACAGCAAAAGCAACAAGAGAGGAGGGAUGAGCCUCUAUCUGUGCCUUGUAUUGUAUCCAGUCUACCUGGACUAGGGUGAUACCAAUCCAAUCAAUGGUCAGAGCCAGUGAUCACCCACUCUUAGUCCCAGCACACUUAAUCCAAAUAUUGAAUCCUGAAUCAAUCACAAACUCUGAUUCAGCUAUCUCCAAAAGAGUCCCAUCUAAAACUGCAGGAGGUUGUGGGGAACAUCUCGACACAAACCAUAAUAUUGAUUUAGUCCUAUUGCACACGUAGAUCUCUUGAUUUAUUCAUCUAGGACAUAUUCAGAAGCUCUGCCAGAAUCUGCCUUUUAGGUAACAAGAUAGGCUGGCAAUAGUUUUUUCUUCCAAAGACCAAAGUGAAAUUUUGGAAGACGAAAAUAAAAACGGAAAACAAAAGAAGGCAUAAAUAAAUAAAUAAAUAUAAAGGCGGAGCGAGCACAAAGCCUUGUGGGAAAUGUAGUCCCACUGGGAGCAGGAGGCCUCAUUGCUUGGCCUCACCUGGCUGACCCCCUUACCCCAUCUCCACCUGCCUUCUCCUGGGUCCCCAGCACCCUGUGUUCAGGGCUGAGGUAAAUGAGGGCAAGGAAACCCUGCCUCUGCUAGCAAUGUGCCAGGGCGGGGUGCAAGACCAGAAUGCAGCGGAACCCUGAGACCUUGGUUGGGUGUUCGAGGCAUCCGCCAGGGGAGGGGUAUGUGAUUCACUGACCAGGAACCUGCAAGCAGGCCCGAGACUCCGGUAUCUCCUCAGCACAGGAGUCCUUAGGUAGGGCAGCGUCGCGGCCUGGUGUGGAGAGGGCACAUCCUCCAGACAGCGCUCAGCCCCGGGCUGCCCAGAAGCCUGGGGGGGGGGGGGGUCGGCUCCUCUCGUGCUAGGAAGAUGCUUUUUCUUUUCGCCUGUAUUUCAUGCAAUCCUCACAAGCAUCCUAGUUACAGUUACAGCUGUGUGGUUACAAGAAGAAUGAGGGUUAAAACGGCAGGCUCAGUGUCACAAAGGAACCCCAGAUAGCAGUACAGAUGCGCUGCACUGCCCAGGUCAGGCAGGGGGAAGCUUGUGAAGUCAGAGGUCUGACUUGGGUCUGCUGCUGAUGGCAGGGCCCCUGGGUUGGUUUGAAGCUCUUGUCACCUCUGCAUUGUCCGGAAGACAUCGCCUGAUAACUCUGCGGCACCACUGUCUCAUGGAAACAGAAUGUGACUCAAGUGUGAUAUUUAAUGUUAUAGCAACUGCAUGAAAAACUGAAAAAGUUACAGAAGUAACUUAGAGGACAUACUGUGUGCUCUCAGUUUAUGCAAAUGUUAUUUCAGGGUGGGACACCAGUCCCAUUUCCAGUGUGAGCAGUUCUGGUGAGUUCUAACAGAAUCAGGUUACAGGCCCUGCAUCCGUGGUUCUCAGUCAGGGUGAUUAGGUUCCGAAAGGACUGUGGAAACGUGUGUGACCAUUUUUCAUAACUGAGAGGAGGGCUUAGCAUCUAUGGGUUGCCCACCGAAGCUCCUGGGUGCACAGGACAUGCCCCACAACAAAGAAUUAUGCAACUGCCAAUUAUCAUUAGUGCCCAGGUAGAGAACACUGCUCUCCUAUGUGUCAGCUAAAGUAAGUUUGUUCCCCAGGCCUGAGUCCUGACUGUUCGGGAACAGAGCAGUUCUGGCUGAAGCAGCUUAAGAGAAAAUCCCACAUGUAAGAAGAGGCCUGUGAGAGAGGCCGCCUCACCAGAUGCAGAAGAACCCAGAGAGAACCAGGGAACUGGCUGGGGUGGGGUCCUGAUUUGCCCCAGAAGUAGUGGGUCAGCCCCCAGCCUAGAGAGAGCCAGGCUUGAUGUCUCCACAUCCAGAAGCCAUCUCCACUGUGUGACACUGAGCUGGCCUGCAAACCAGGCCGCAGAAGGAGGUGAGCCGUGGUGGAGAGGAGUGGGUGACCAUCAAGAAGAAAAAUCCACUUUCUUGGUAGGCUCUUCUCCGUGGUCUCCGAGGAGGGCAUGGCCAUCAGGAUGAGGACAUUUCCUCGCCGUUCUCCUCACGUAGCCCCUUUUCCUUCUGUCUUCCCUCCCACCUCCUGAUCCAUGCCUUUGACUUGGGUGACCUGAGCCUGUAGAAUCACGGAAUGGUAAUACAAGGCAGGAGUUUGCUCCUGAUUGCUUCGAAACCUUAAAAAAUGGGCAGGAGAUAACGAUUUGCCCGUGGUCUCCUGGGACACGCCAAGCAGCAGAGUAGUCCUGUUUCUUCAUACAGGUGAGUCCCUAAGUGCAUUUGAACAACUGCCCCUAUGUAUUAAAUAUCCUGUUUAUAAACUUCCCUUUUGAAAUUUUUCUAUUGAUUUUUUUCAUGUGUGAAUUGUAGGGUAUUAAGAUGAAUGUUUGUGAUUUCUUUUCAGACUUUUAAAGAAACUUUUAAAAUAAAUUAGUAAAAAAAUAAUUGCAGUCACAUAAGGUUAUGUCCGCGUGAUCAUAUUACAGCCGUACAUAUUUGGAAUGUUCUCAAGGGGUUCUCAAGGGUCCGGUACAUUUCUCCUUAGGGGACUCCUCCCCUGCAGGUGCAGUGCGGUGUCAGGCAGAGGGGUAUGCAAGCCGAGGACACCUUUCACCUCUCUGUCCUCAGCGUAUCCUUCUCAGUUCUCUGCACUCUUCCAUGAGCAGCAGAAAAAGAACACAUCUCAGGUGAGUUAUUUCUUGGCAUGCUUUGGUGUCGUGGAUUUUAGAAGGAGGGAAGAGAAUCAUCCAGGUGGUUUCUGUUGCUGGGCUGAUGAAUGCCUGGCUGCACUGUGUUGUUCUUUUCCUGCUUCUCUGGAUUCAGCGGGUCGUGCUCCAGUUAACACCUUUAGGUCUGCAUUAGGGAGAGACACUGUCCUGUACCUUUUCUUUGAUGGAGUAUCUUGUAUGGUUUUGACAUCAACUUUAUGCUCUCACAAGCUUAGUUGGGAAGUGGUUAUUCAUUUUCUAUCUCAGUAUUUGAAGAUUACUGUUAUUUCUUCUUUCUGUAUUUAGAAAAAUAUACCUAUGGAGCAAUCUGGCCUUGGUUUAUUCUUGUGGCUGGUUUUUACUUAUGAAUUAGACUCUUUAAUAGGUUAUAGAGAACCAAAAUAAUCCUAUUUCUUCCAGCAUCCUUUUUAAAAAAACACAUUUUGUAGAGGAAUUCAUAUGACUAUAUAAUUUAUACAUUUGAAGUAUACAAUUCAGUAAUUUUCAGUAUCUUCACAGAGAUAUGUAACCAUUGCCAAGUUCAUUCUCAAAACUUCAGAAAGAUACUCUGUAUCUUUCCCUGUUACUCCCCUCCUGGACAUAGUUGACCCCAGUACCAGAUAAGCUGCAUUGUGUCUUUAUACAGUUGCCUCUUCUGGACACUGCUAAUAAAUGAACUGAUACAUGUUUUGUAAUAGUUUCUUUCCUUUUGCAUACAGUUUGCAAGGUUCAUGCAUCUUCUAGUAUAUAAUGGGUAUGGCUUCUUUUUAUAACAAUACUCCAUCAUGUGACUGUACAUUUUUUUAGCCAUUCAUCCAGUGAUGAAGAUUAGGUUGUUUCUGUCUUUUGGAUCAUAAGAAUAAUGUUCUUGUUAACAGACAUGUGCAAAGUUUUAGGUAGACGUAUUUUUAUCUCUGUUGGGAACAAUCUAGGAGUGGUAUUUCAGAGUCAUGUGGUACUCUAUGUUUAUAUUCUUCAGUAACUGCCGCCCUGUUUUCCAUAGCAGCUGUACCAUUUUACAUUCCAGCUAGCGGUGGUGUGUUAGGGCUUCACUUUCUUCACAUUAUUGUCACCACUGGUUAUUUUUCUUUUUUAAAAAAUGUUGGUUAUCCUUAUAGCUAUGAAAUGAAUCUUAUUUGGGAUUUGAUUUGCAUUUCCCUGAUGAUUAAUGAUAUUAAAAAAUUUUUUGCAUGUGUGGUAACUGGCUAUGUGUUAAUCAUUUUUGAAGAUGCUAUCCAAUGUAUUGUUUUUCUUUUUACUGUCAUGAUAGUUUUUUUAUAGUAUCCUUUGAUACAAAAGCUUUUAAUCUUGAUGAAGUCAAAUUUAUUGUUUUCUUUGAUUUGUUGUGCUUUUGAUGGCAUAUCUAGAAAGCCACUGUCCAAUGCAUGGACAUGAUGUCUUAUUUUUUAUUUCUUCUAAGAUUACAUAGCUUAAAAAAAAUUUCAUAGCUUAAGUUUAUAUUAAGGUCUUUGAAGUAUUUUGAGACAAUUUUUUAAUAUAGCAACUUUUUUCUUUUGCAUGUGGCAGCCCAAUUAUCUUAGUAAUACUUGUUGAAGACUAUUUUUCCUUUAUUGAAUGAUUAAUAUAGUUUUAUUUUGUGAUUCUAAAUUUCUCUAGAUUUAAAUUUUUUUAUGCCAGUAUUGCAUUUUUUUAUUCUGGCAGGGGACAGUUCUGGAGAUUUCAGACUAGGCUUCUGUCUUAGUUACUUUUCUCUUAUCACUGAGACAAAAUACCUGACACUCAAAAUUAAGGAAAGAAAGGUUUAUUUAGCUUACAGUUUGUAGAGGUUUCAGUCAGUAAUUAGCUGACUCUAAGAUAGGGUGGCAUGGCACAGGGACAACAGUUCUAGGCAGCAGAAGAUACCAAAAGAAGCAAGAGAAAAAAUAUGGCAGGAGCAGGUGCUUUUCCUUUCUUAUAUAGUAAGCAGACUACAGGGCAGGUUAGCACUCUACCUUGGUGUACUCCUGAUGUUCACGAAGUGAGGAUCCUGGGCCCCUGCUGAGUCCUUUAGUUAUACUUCUAAGCUUUUCAACUUGAUACAAUGUAUCACCCAUUAUAGCUAGCUUCCUAGCCUUUUUAUUUUUUAUUUAGAGACAAGUUCUGAGUAAUCCAGGCUCAAACUCACAAUUCUCCUGCUUUAGCUUCCCAGAAUCCUGGGAUUACAGGGCUACACUCUUACACCUGACAUCUUAGUUAAUAUUAUUAUUGAUCAGAAACUAUGAACAAAUGGCCAGUGAUUCCACAAGUAAUGUCUGAGUGAAGCUCCAGCGUUUUCUCCAUGAAGCGUCUAACAUCCUUCACACACUUAAAAACACAACACAGCACUUCAGUGCACACAGCAUACAGAGCCCAUUUAAAAAGGAGAAUCGUGGAGAUAAAGCACAGAAAUGCAGAAAAGCAAGGUACUGAGUAAAAUGAGAAAAGGACACUUGUUUACGUAUCAGCGCUGAAAUGCAAAGCAGAGCAUCACUUUGUUCAGCCUGGGCUGGGAAUGUUCAUGUCAGGUCGUUCACACUUUGUGUAAUAUUCCUUUUCAGUCUGUCUAUAUCCGGGUUUAUAAAAUGGGCUUUAUUUGUUAUUUUGUAAGGUGUGUUUUAUUUUUAUGUUUUGGUCUUUUCUUAAAUUGGAUUGUUUAGUACCGAGGUUAGCAACUUUCCUUUGUCGUUGGUUGUGCAGUAAAUGGGUUCAGCAGGGCUCUGAUGACUUCUCAAUGCUGCCCUCUCAACACUCCAUAGACAUGGAGGCUGAGGCAGGAAGAUCACUGAGUCCAGUCCCGCUCAGGUAUAGCUCACUUCGAAGUUCUAUGCAUCAAUCCCUGGUCUUGGUUCUUGCUUCCCACUCAAAAAAACAAAAACAAAAAAAAGAAACAACCCCCCAAAACAAAAAACAAAAACCCAUACACAAUGCAAAAUGAUGAAUGUGACUGACAGACCAUAAUUUGCCAAGUACAUUUAUUGUAGUCUGCUUGACGGUAGGAAAAAAAUGUACAAGGAUUAUGUACAUGCUUUGGCUACAAAAAUAAAAUUCAAAAAUCAAGGUGUUACUAGUAUUCAUAGUUCAUGUAUAUACUCAUAAAUAUUGACCAAUUAUUAUACAUGUUUUAAUAUGUGAGUACCUGCAAAGUGUAUCAUAUCCAGAAUUGACUUUCUAUUCACUUGUUUUAAAUUCUUUAUAGUAAAUAUAGUAAGAAUGUUUUCAGAGUGUUUCCUCUGUCCACUUGUAAUUCCUGACAGAUGAGUGUGGUACCUGGAGGACGUGACUGUGGGGCUCAGCCAGGAGGAGUGGUGGCACAUGGGCCCUGCUCAGAGGACCCUGUAUGCCACCUCGCCUCCCUGGGUGAGCCUCUGAACCACAUUUACCCUGGCAAGUCCAUACAGUAGACUUCUUCUUCACAGAGGCUGAGGCUUGUGAACAAUUGAAAAGUUUCGUGUUACUUCGGCUUUUCAUUCAGGAGAGUAAAGUUACUAAACCCUAUUGCUCCCUAUGGUGAAUUCAAGCCAGGACCUGCAUAGUGCUGUACCUGAUGCCUUUUUCUACUUGGAGAUCAAAAGCUAAUGUGUCUGGCCUGAGCCCUCACCUGCAGCGUCCAGUGUAACUCUUGAAAUUUUCGGGGUGCAAGGCAGUGGAGGUUGAAGAGAUAAAGGCAAGUCAGAAUGCAGAAAGCCAAGGUCAGGUGGAACCUUCUCUCUUGAUGGAAAAAAAUAACCUGCUUAACAACCUCUGACCUCCAAGUGUUUUUAUUUAUACACUCAGCAGAUUCAUAUCACCUGACAGCCCUUUGCCCAGCAACCCAUUUGUUUGGACUGCCUCGGGCUCUGCGUGUUUUCAGAGCUGGUACAGCUUGUUCAUGUGGCUCAUCUUGGGCUGUGUUCAGGCUGAAGCUGAUUGAUCUCCAGCUUCUGCCACUCCCCACACUCACCUGUUCUCUGUUAUCAAUAUACUGCAUUUUCAGACCAGACUUGAUCUUCAGGUUGCAGCAAAGGGAAGCAUCUUGGUUCUCAGAUGAGAAACUCUCAAACCAGAGUCACCCAGGUGAGCUGCUGAGCAGUAGCCGAACUCUGUGGGAGCAGACUCCAAAUGAUCACUUUAGGGCUUAAAACCUUUCAGUUGCAAGAUGUUUUUGAAAAGACAAAAGCUACAGAAAUACCAGUCAAAUGGAAAUGAUUUAACAAAUACGAUUCCAUUAAAAAUUUAACUUUUGUUUAUAAGAGAAAAUAUUUAAAAUAAUGAAAAGCCAUAAAGUGGAAAAAAAGGUAUAUAGUACAAGUAAUUUAGAAAGGAACAACUAACCUGAAAAAGUAAGGAAUUUCUAUAUGUCAGUGUAGGAAAAGAUGAAUGACCUCACUGAAAAAUGGGCAGAAAAAUUCGAACUUUCUACAAGGCCAGUAAAUCUGAAAAUGCAUUCAGUUACAUUAGUUUUCAUAGAAUGCAAAAUAAAAUUCAAAGUAAAAUUAUAGAUAUGAUGUGAAAUCAGUGUUAACAAAUGCCAAGUUCUAAUGAGGACUUGGGUUAUUGGACGUCAUAUCCACAGAUGGAAAUUAAACAUGUGAAAACUCUGUGAAAUGAGUUAUUCUUGUGACAAGGCAAGAGCUUUCCUAACUAUAUAUCCUUCAAAAUCUGUAAGUAGAUUCUCUGGAGUCCAUAACCAUAUUGAUGGGUAAAUUCUUUGCAUUUGCCAGACAUUAAUGUAAUCAACAGCAGAAUGGAGAGUUGUAUUCUUUAAAGGAGAAUGAUACAGCCACAUAAAAUUUUGUACAAUUAUAAACAUAAUAAUAAACAAAAAAUACAGAUAUGUGUUACUGAUUACAUUUACAUAAAGGUCAUAACAGCCAAAACUGAGCUAUAUUUUUAGGGAUUCAUAUAUUAGUAGUCCCCAUAACAUACAUUAGUAUUUCCCUUAAAACAGGACCUAAGCUGAAAAUAAGCCCUAGUAUGAUUUUUCAAGAAGCUCUUAAUAUAACCCCUUACCUCCAAAAUAAGCCCCAGUUAAGAUGGUCAGCUAGACAAAUGCAUUCAAGAUGUCCAUUGGAAUACAUGAUGAACUUACUGAAUUAGAAAAUAUUACAAUGUAACUAUAAAUAGUACUGACAAUAUUUAUAAAAUAUUUAUAAAAAUGUAUGAGUUUGUUAAUAGGGGCAAAAAAAUUUUUAAAAUGUAAAUAUAAUUAAUGCUUAAUUGUAAUUUAGAUAAUAUAUGUUAUAAUUUAGAUAAUAUGUUAGAUCAUUUAGAUAAUAUAAAUUAUAAUAAAGUUUUUGUAAAUACCUAAACAAGUGCCUUUGCAGGAGAGGUAAAUGCCCAUGUAAACAAACCAACUCGAGACUUAAGUGUUGAAUGAUUACUCAUAGUACAGAUACAACUCAAGAAUAAUGUGUGUGUAGUUGGUACUGAAGACAUGAUUGUGUCUCAUAUCAAUUUGCAUAAUACAAUGUGUGUUGUAAUGGAUGUACUUAAUGUGCUUGUGUGAAAUAAAGGUUUUCUGUAAUUUGA